rnacentral:tRNA from 1 species
GGUCUGCUAGCGUAAUCGGAAGCGCGUCUUACUACGAAUCAGGAGGUUCCAGGUUCGAGCCCUGGGUGGAUCG